rnacentral:rRNA from 1 species
CCGGCCGCCAGCGGCGCUCGCAAAGUUCGGAUCCGCAAGGACCGGGCCAGCGGGACGUCCCCGUGGCUGUGGUGCACUUUCUCCGCGGUCGAGUGCUACGACCGGUUUCGAGGCGGUCAGAAGCCCGGCGGAAAGGUAGCGCCGCCCUUCGGGGUGUCGUGUUAUAGGCCGCCGCGGUGGACUCGCCGCGAGACCGAGGACGCUUGCCGCGCCGAGCGGUCCCGGGCCGUCUUGGGAGGUUCGACCUCGGCUGCACUGCUCCGCAGAGCACCGUAACCGCCGCCCUAGCACGGGUCCGGAGACCGCCGGCGCCUCGGGUCAGUAGCG